rnacentral:rRNA from 1 species
CUACGUGCCAGCAGCCGCGGUAAUACGGAGGAUGCGAGCGUUAUCCGGAUUUAUUGGGUUUAAAGGGUGCGUAGGCGGCCUGUUAAGUCAGCGGUGAAAUCUAGGAGCUUAACUCCUAAAUUGCCAUUGAUACUGGCGGGCUUGAGUGUAGAUGAGGUAGGCGGAAUGCGUGGUGUAGCGGUGGAAUGCAUAGAUAUCACGCAGAACUCCGAUUGCGAAGGCAGCUUACUAAGGUACAACUGACGCUGAAGCACGAAAGCGUGGGUAUCAAACAGGAUUAGAUACCCUGGUAGUCCACGCAGUAAACGAUGAUAACUGGGCGUAUGCGAUAUACAGUAUGCUCCUAAGCGAAAGCGUUAAGUUAUCCACCUGGGGAGUACGCCGGCAACGGUGAAACUCAAAGGAAUUGACGGGGGCCCGCACAAGCGGAGGAACAUGUGGUUUAAUUCGAUGAUACGCGAGGAACCUUACCCGGGAUUGAAAUGUAGAUGACCGCUCCUGAAAGGGAGUUUU